UGGGGAAUUUUGGACAAUGGGCGAAAGCCUGAUCCAGCAAUGCCGCGUGAGUGAAGAAGGCCUUCGGGUUGUAAAGCUCUUUUGUCAGGGAAGAAACGGUGAGAGCUAAUAUCUCUUGCUAAUGACGGUACCUGAAGAAUAAGCACCGGCUAACUACGUGCCAGCAGCCGCGGUAAUACGUAGGGUGCAAGCGUUAAUCGGAAUUACUGGGCGUAAAGCGUGCGCAGGCGGUUUUGUAAGUCUGAUGUGAAAUCCCCGGGCUCAACCUGGGAAUUGCAUUGGAGACUGCAAGGCUAGAAUCUGGCAGAGGGGGGUAGAAUUCCACGUGUAGCAGUGAAAUGCGUAGAUAUGUGGAGGAACACCGAUGGCGAAGGCAGCCCCCUGGGUCAAGAUUGACGCUCAUGCACGAAAGCGUGGGGAGCAAACAGGAUUAGAUACCCUGGUAGUCCCUGAGCGGGCUGGCAAGGCGCAU
rnacentral:rRNA from 1 species